rnacentral:rRNA from 1 species
GUGCCUAAUACAUGCAAGUAGAACGCUGAAGAGAGGAGCUUGCUCUUCUUGGAUGAGUUGCGAACGGGUGAGUAACGCGUAGGUAACCUGCCUUGUAGCGGGGGAUAACUAUUGGAAACGAUAGCUAAUACCGCAUAACAAUGGAUGACACAUGUCAUUUAUUUGAAAGGGGCAAUUGCUCCACUACAAGAUGGACCUGCGUUGUAUUAGCUAGUAGGUGAGGUAAUGGCUCACCUAGGCGACGAUACAUAGCCGACCUGAGAGGGUGAUCGGCCACACUGGGACUGAGACACGGCCCAGACUCCUACGGGAGGCAGCAGUAGGGAAUCUUCGGCAAUGGGGGCAACCCUGACCGAGCAACGCCGCGUGAGUGAAGAAGGUUUUCGGAUCGUAAAGCUCUGUUGUAAGUCAAGAACGGGUGUGAGAGUGGAAAGUUCACACUGUGACGGUAGCUUACCAGAAAGGGACGGCUAACUACGUGCCAGCAGCCGCGGUAAUACGUAGGUCCCGAGCGUUGUCCGGAUUUAUUGGGCGUAAAGCGAGCGCAGGCGGUUUGAUAAGUCUGAAGUUAAAGGCUGUGGCUCAACCAUAGUUCGCUUUGGAAACUGUCAAACUUGAGUGCAGAAGGGGAGAGUGGAAUUCCAUGUGUAGCGGUGAAAUGCGUAGAUAUAUGGAGGAACACCGGUGGCGAAAGCGGCUCUCUGGUCUGUAACUGACGCUGAGGCUCGAAAGCGUGGGGAGCGAACAGGAUUAGAUACCCUGGUAGUCCACGCCGUAAACGAUGAGUGCUAGGUGUUGGAUCCUUUCCGGGAUUCAGUGCCGCAGCUAACGCAUUAAGCACUCCGCCUGGGGAGUACGACCGCAAGGUUGAAACUCAAAGGAAUUGACGGGGGCCCGCACAAGCGGUGGAGCAUGUGGUUUAAUUCGAAGCAACGCGAAGAACCUUACCAGGUCUUGACAUCCCGAUGCUAUUUCUAGAGAUAGAAAGUUACUUCGGUACAUCGGUGACAGGUGGUGCAUGGUUGUCGUCAGCUCGUGUCGUGAGAUGUUGGGUUAAGUCCCGCAACGAGCGCAACCCCUAUUGUUAGUUGCCAUCAUUCAGUUGGGCACUCUAGCGAGACUGCCGGUAAUAAACCGGAGGAAGGUGGGGAUGACGUCAAAUCAUCAUGCCCCUUAUGACCUGGGCUACACACGUGCUACAAUGGUUGGUACAACGAGUUGCGAGUCGGUGACGGCGAGCUAAUCUCUUAAAGCCAAUCUCAGUUCGGAUUGUAGGCUGCAACUCGCCUACAUGAAGUCGGAAUCGCUAGUAAUCGCGGAUCAGCACGCCGCGGUGAAUACGUUCCCGGGCCUUGUACACACCGCCCGUCACACCACGAGAGUUUGUAACACCCGAAGUCGGUGAGGUAACCUUUUGGAGCCAGCCGCCUAAGGU